rnacentral:rRNA from 1 species
ACGGAAGGUGCAAGCGUUAGUCGGAAUAACUGGGCGUAAAGGGUGCGUAGGCGGUGAUAUAAGUCGGAUGUGAAAUUCCGAGGCUUAACCUCGGAGCUGCAUCCGAGACUGUACCACUUGAGGAAUGGCGGAGAGAAUGGAAUUCCAUAUGUAGCGGUGAAAUGCGUAGAUAUAUGGAGGAACACCCGUGGCGAAGGCGGUUCUCUAGCCUCCUCCCGACGCUGAGGCACGAAAGCAAGGGGAUCAAACAG